rnacentral:rRNA from 1 species
UACGGAGGGUGCAAGCGUUGUCCGGAAUCACUGGGCGUAAAGGGCGCGUAGGCGGCUCAUGAAGGCUGUGGUGAAAGUCCGGGGCUCAACCUCGGAUCGGCCGUGGCGACUCGUGGGCUGGAGCACUGUAGAGGCGGGUGGAAUUCCGGGUGGAGUGGUGAAAUGCGUAGAGAUCCGGAAGAACACCAAAGGCGAAGGCACCAUCCUGGGGAGUCACUGACGCUCGGGUGCGAAAGCCAGGGGAGCGAACGGG